GGGCGUAUGGUCUAGAGGUAUGAUACCUGCUUUGGGUCGUCUCCAUUGCAGGGGGUCUUCGGUUCGAAUCCGGAUUCGCCCC
rnacentral:tRNA from 1 species